AGAGACCACCACCAUUGAGGU
rnacentral:misc_RNA from 1 species